rnacentral:lncRNA from 1 species
UGCUGGAGGGUUCACCUUAAAUCAUUGCACCAAAUAUUGCCGCUGCCUCGUUCCCUGCAGGGAGUAUGACUGAUUAACCACCCCUCCUUUCUGUCCCUCUCGUUCCUUUAUUAAUCUUCAUGAUAAGAUUUGACCCGCUCUCUGAUACAUUUCUCUUUUCUUUUCUUGACAUAGAUUAUGACACCUGUUCUUUCAAAGUCAAAGUUACAGAACCCAAACAUGUACGCACCCAGAAAAGGAAACCAGAAAGAAGGUGCCACAACACAAACACACCCCUAGAGGACCUGGUGCAAAGAAGACCAUCGCCGCCGGAGAAGAGAGGGACAUGACGCUGCU